rnacentral:rRNA from 1 species
AUAAUAAUUUGUCUUUUAAUUGAAGGCUAGAAUGAAUGAUUGAACGUAGUAAUUUCUGUCUCAUUUAAAUUUUUAGUUAAAUUUAAUUUUUGAGUUAAAAAGCUUAAAUUUUAUUAAAGGACGAGAAGACCCUAUAGAACUUUAUAUUUUUUUAAUUUAAUUAAUUAAAAUAUUUGUUUUAAAUUGAUAAAUAUAUUUUAUUGGGGCGAUAGUAAAAUUUAUUAAACUUUUAUAUUAAUAUUUCAUUAAUUUAUGAAUUUUUGAYCCUAUUUAUAGAUUAUUAGAUUAAGUUACCUUAGGGAUAACAGCGUUAUUUUUUUUAAAGUUCAUAUUAAUAAAAAAGAUUGC